rfam:Arabidopsis thaliana chromosome 2, complete sequence.
UUGCAAGGAUGAGCAAAAAUAUUUUUUGAAAGCAUUGUGCUUAAUGAGUCAGCGACUAUAAUGUCGACCUGAGCGGUUAACUGAGCAA